CCUUAAGACAGUUUCAUCGGACAACCGCCCACGCGCCGCCUCACCAGGGGCGCCUCGACCUGCUAGUAAUGGGUAUGGCCUCCGUUUGUCCAACCGAGCUUUGGUUUGUGAGUAAUUGAAGCUUUUCAGAUUCGGGUUCUAUGUUUAAUGUCCGAAAAUCAGCCGAUUUUGAGCCCUUUUUUGCUACCCAAGCUCUGAUACCAGAUGUUAGGAUCUUCCUCUAGCUGCUCAAGGUGAUUUCCGGGCUCAGUUAACCAUUAAACAUCAAAUUCAACACCAAAAUCGAGAGGUGACCGACCACCGACGAGCUUACUUCCUAUGGUUGCUUUUCCUCUUUUGCUUGUUGUUUCUUCCACACACUUAGGAUGGAUACCACACAGGUAAGAGUCACAAAGCCUCAAGCAAUUGGUAGGGAAGAUUAAUUAACAGGAUGCAUGAAGGAGAAGAAGAAGAAGACUGCCUCUCUCUCUCGGGUUCUCUCACGCACGGGUUCAACACAACAAAGGGAGUUACCAAUUUAUAAUAGUCCAAUGGCUAACUUAAGGUAAGUCACAGUAUGGUAAGUAGGCUCGACUAGGGUUAAGUCCCAAUAGCACACCAACAAGCCACAAAGAUUAUUAGCCCUCCAAUAGGUAAAGCAAUGCUAGAUCGGGUCAUCCCAUUAUUCGGUGUUGAUUUAUCGUUCAGUCAUUCAUGUCGACUGAUAAAAUUGGUUUUCAUCAUCGCCCUGGA
rnacentral:lncRNA from 1 species